rnacentral:rRNA from 1 species
AUUCCGAACACAGUAGUUAAGCGUCCACAGGCCGAGGGUACUUCGUUGGAGACGACGUGGGAGAGUAGGUAGUUGCCGCAA